GUGAGGAAUUUUCCGCAAUGGGCGAAAGCCUGACGGAGCAAUGCCGCGUGAAGGAUGAAGGCCUAUGGGUUGUAAACUUCUUUUCUCAGAAAAGAAUUAUGACGGUAUCUGAGGAAUAAGCAUCGGCUAACUCUGUGCCAGCAGCCGCGGUAAGACAGAGGAUGCAAGCGUUAUCCGGAAUGAUUGGGCGUAAAGCGUCUGUAGGUUGUUUAAAAAGUAUUCUGUCAAAGAUUAGGGCUUAACCCUAGAUAGGCAGAAUAAACUUUUAAGCUAGAGUUUGGUAGAGGCAGAGGGAAUUCCCGGUGGAGCGGUGAAAUGCGUAGAUAUCGGGAGGAACACCAAAGGCGAAGGCACUCUGCUGGGCCAAUACUAACACUGAGAGACGAAAGCGAGGGGAGCAAAUGGGAUUAGAAACUCCGGUAGUCC
rnacentral:rRNA from 1 species